rnacentral:misc_RNA from 1 species
AAGUCGUAACAAGGUUUCCGUAGGUGAACCUGCGGAAGGAUCAUUAAUGAAUUUCAAGGACGCUCUUUUUAGAGGUCCGACCAAAUCAUUUACCUUUCUACACUGUGCACACACUACUUUUUUUACACCUUUUUUUAACACUAUUAGUUUAAGAAUGUAAAUCAGUCUCUUAAUUGAGCAUAAAAUAAAUAAAACUUUCAGCAACGGAUCUCUUGGCUCUC